rfam:Selenomonas noxia ATCC 43541 genomic scaffold SCAFFOLD2, whole genome shotgun sequence.
AUUACCUUUUAAGAGGUCCUGUGAGGCCUUAAAGGAGUCUUCAAUGAAAUAUGAUAUGCAGUCCGUCUAUCCUAUUUUAGAAUACAGAGCUUUCUUAUGCCUUUCUUUAGGUAUGGGAAAGCUUUUUUAUU